GUCUGAAACUAUGCUACUUGUUGCUGCAGUUCCAUCAGAUCUUGCAAGCACAUAGAGUUGGGCCAAGUAAAUACUUAGAUGGGUGACCUCCAAGGAAUAUCCUGGGUGCUGUAGGCA
rnacentral:rRNA from 1 species